rnacentral:lncRNA from 1 species
AGAUUCAGGGGGCUUUGCUCUGCAGAUGAUGAACAAUGGAAUCAAACAUUUAAGCUGUGAAUAAAUAAUUACUCAUUUCUCUGAUCUUUUGCGGCAAGACACCAACACCUGUCUUUAUUUUAAUUCAUUUCCCAGUGUGUUGUGGCGAGGAUGAAAUAGUGUAUCCUAGGAUGCCAGGGGAAUCCACCGUCUGCCACCGCGAGCGUGAGAAGCCAAUCACCUAUCACUGGUAUCACUGGCAUCCCGGCCAUAUAUACCCUAGAGUUGCAUCAAUGGAAGGUGUUGUGGAAAUUCAGUCAUUCAGUUCAUUCAUGAUAUGAUUUCUAGAUUCUUCAGUGUCUCAUAUUUCAGACAAUUAUAAAAUUGCGAUGCUAUAUUCUUUAUUUCAUGUGUGCAUAUUUAAAUGUGUUAAGUCAAUCACUAGUGCUACAACCAGAGGAGUAAAGGUGUAUUUCCAUUCCAGAUUUGGGUUUACUUUUAAUAGUAAAUAACAUCUCAGUGCAAAUUGUAGACAUUUUGCUGAUUGUUAAAACAUUAAUUAAAAAGGAUCUUUUUCUGAGACAGUGUUGCCAGGUUUGUAAAGUAAUGGACAUCACUUCAAACUGUUUGGAAGUAACCGAAAAAUGGAGGAAGUGGCAACAAAACUUUCCAUAUACCCACCUUCCUCAGUAUUUUUUGGUGAUCCCAUCUUUGUGAGUGUGAUAACGCUCGUAACAAUGACUGAGCCAAUAGUGAUACAUUCUUAUGAACAGAAGUCCAAGGUUAGCAUCAGUGACUGAGCCAAUAGUGAUACAUUCUUAUGAACAGAAAUCUAGGGUUAGCAUCAAGGUUCACUCUGUGUUGUCCAGCCUAUGGGUUUUGACAAACUGACAAUGUCUUUUGUCACCCUGACGGAAUAAUUUCACAUCCUACACAUGACCUGAGCUGCAUCUACUAAUUCCUCUCCUUUUCUGAGGAUUCCUGACAACUAUGGAUGAUUUUACUGCCUCUAUAGGUUUCCUUUUCCAGAAUUGUAUAGAGUUGGAAUCAUAGAGUAUGUAGCUACGUAUAACUAACUUAUUUUACUUAGCAAUAUACAUGUAAGAUCUUUUGUAUCGUUUUGAAGCUUAACAGCUUAAUAAUUCUUAUCAGUGAACAAUAGUCCAUUGGUUUCAUCGAACAGGGUUAGUUGGUUCACUCACUGCCUGAAGACCAUCUGAGCUGCUUCCAAUUUGGGUAAUUAUGAAUAAAGCUGCCCACAUUCUUGUGCAGAUUUUAAGAUGAACAUAAUUUUCUAAUUUAGCUGGGUAAAUAUGUAGAAUUUUGAUCACUUGCUGGUAAGACUAUGUUUUCCAUUGUGUUAGGCAGAAUUCACCAGUACAAUUAUGUGGGCAUUUUUUUUUAAGUUAUUACUUCCUGAUUAAAUUCUAUAAUGAUAGAGGCCUACUCAGAUUAUCUAUCUCUCCUUUGGGUGGUUAUGGUAGUUUCUCCCUUUGAAGGCAUUUGUCCAUUUCAUCUAAGCUAGGAAAUUUGUGGGUGUAGACACUUGAAUCUGACAAGUUGCCUGCUUGGUUCUCAUCAAAGGCUACUGUGCUUCCUGUCAUUCCUACUCUCAAACUUUUCAAUAGACUUUCACUCCUGCACUUAAAAAAUUGCAGGCAUAGAUUUGUUGAAAGUAUUCUGUUAUUAUUUUCUUAAUGAUUAUGGGAUCAGCAAGGAUAAUUCCUCUUCUAUUCAUAUUGUUUGUACAUCGUGUCUUCUGUAUUUUCUUUGUGAUUAGCCUUGCUGGAGGUUUACCAAUUCUAUUGAUCUUUUCUAAGAAGCAGCUUUUGGUUUUGUUGAGUUUCUUUAUUUUAUUAUUUCUAUUACAUUGAUUUCUGCAAAUAUUGUUAUAUUUUGGGGGAGGAGUGUUGCCUGGUUUACAUUACACUACACUUUUUUCUCUAGUUUCCUAAGGUGGAAAGUAAGACAUCUGGAUUUGGAUUACAUUUAGUUUACUGCACAGAAUUGUGAAUGGCACUGAUGCCCCUGAAGUGUGCACUUGAUUAUUAAAAUAAUAAAUAUGAUGUAUUUUGGCCACAAUACUGAUUUUAAAGCCAAUUAAAUGGAUGAUAAGUACAGGAGGAGCAUAUGUAGAUCAAGGAAAGAUAAAUGACAUUAUAACAUUUCAACAACAAAAGAAAUUUACCGGGCCUCAAAAUGCACAAGGGGGUGAUGGGACACUGUCAUGAAAUCAGCAGUGCAUUUGUGUGCCACCCUGUGUGAACUCUGCCUUUUUUGCAGUGGUGUGGGGGCUUAGCCAGAGAACCAGGUCCUGACUUCUGUGGCUUCCUGAUGGUCUCAUUUGCCUUCCCUCAUCACCCAGGAGGGUGUCCCAGUGGCAGCCAAGUUUCUACCCUUAACCCACCUCCUUUACACAUGCCAGCCCCCUGUCCUUAGCAUCCAAGGUUGCCUAAGGGAUUCCUUCAGUGGAACCAACAUGAUGACAGUUACUCUGUGUUUCCUAGAUUACGAUGAGGACCUGGUGCAGGAAGCUUCAUCUGAAGAUGUCCUGGGCGUUCAUAUGGUGGACAAAGACACAGAGAGAGACAUUGAGAUGAAACGGCAACUACGGCGACUACGGGAGCUCCACCUAUACAGCACAUGGAAGAAGUACCAAGAGGCGAUGAAGACAUCCUUGGGAGUUCCACAAUGUGAGCGUGACGAAGGCUCCUUGGGCAAGCCAUUGUGUCCACCCGAGAUACUCUCGGAGACGUUGCCAGGCUCUGUGAAGAAAAGGGUAUGCUUUCCAUCAGAAGAUCAUCUAGAGGAGUUUAUAGCAGAACAUCUCCCUGAAGCAUCCAAUCAGAGUCUCCUCACUGUUGCCCAUGCAGACACAGGCAUCCAAACCAACGGUGACCUGGAAGACCUGGAGGAGCAUGGGCCAGGGCAGACAGUCUCUGAGGAAGCCACAGAAGUUCACAUGAUGGAGGGGGACCCAGACACACUGGCCGAACUUCUGAUCAGGGAUGUACUUCAGGAGCUGUCCAGUUACAACGGCGAGGAGGAGGACCCAGAGGAGGUGAAGACAUCCUUGGGAGUUCCACAACGUGGUGACCUGGAAGACCUGGAGGAGCAUGUGCCAGGGCAGACAGUCUCUGAGGAAGCCACAGGGGUUCACAUGAUGCAGGUGGACCCAGCCACGCCGGCAAAGAGUGACCUGGAAGACCUGGAGGAGCAUGUGCCAGGGCAGACAGUCUCUGAGGAAGCCACAGGGGUUCACAUGAUGCAGGUGGACCCAGCCACACUGGCAAAGCAAUUGGAAGACUCCACCAUUACAGGCAGCCACCAGCAGAUGUCAGCAAGUCCUUCCUCUGCACCUGCAGAAGAAGCAACAGAAAAGACCAAAGUGGAAGAGGAAGUGAAAACCAGAAAGCCCAAGAAGAAAACCAGGAAGCCCAGCAAGAAAAGCCGGUGGAAUGUCCUGAAAUGUUGGGACAUUUUUAAUAUAUUUUAGAGACCUCUGAAGAUUCCUCGACCACCAGGAAGGGCCCCGACGUGGGGAUGUCAACAUGGCUCAGACUUGAUGUGGAUCGUGAUCAUUUCGGGAAAUGUGUUACUCCAAAAACUUUUAUAAUCUUUGCUUAAUUUGUUUUUAAAUACUUUCCUGGCUGGGCGUGGUGGCUUAUGCCUGUAAUCCCAGCACUUUGGGAGGCCGAGGCGGGUGGAUCACCUGAGGUCAGGAGUUAAAGACCAGCCUGGCCAACAAGGUGAAACCCCGUCUCUACUAAAAAUACAAAAAUUAGCUAGGCGUGGUGGCGCACUCUUGUAGUCCCAGCUAUUUGGGAGGCUGAGGCAGGAGAAUCACUUGACCUCAGGAGGCGGAGGUUGCAGUGAGCCGAGAUCAUGCCACUGCACCCCAGCACCUGGCUACAGAGUGAGACUUUGUCUCAAAAAAAAAAAAAAAAGAACAAAAAAAUUCUGACUUUAACCUCUGUUUUUCAGAGGGCACAAAUUGUUCUUGUAUUGUUUCCAUUUUACAUUUUUUUCUUGAAGUUAUUUUCCAAUUGUUUUCAUUCUUUCUGAAGUUUUGUUUACUCGGUUUUAAGUUUUUGUAAUUUUGAUAGACUUUUGUGCUUUCAUUUUCUUAAUGACUUUUACCUCAUUUUUAAAACAAAUCCAUAGUAUGAGGUUUAUUUUGAACAACUGGCAAUUCCAGGAAUGAUGGAAUAAAGCAUACGAAGUAGAAGGACUGGAACCUCCAGAAAAAGUACUUUAAGUUACCUACAGGUGAUCCUAGUCAGGCAAAUGAAAACAGUAGCCUAAAGUGUCAGUUUCAACCAGAAAAUAACAGCUCUGAUUUCUCAUGGCUCAUACUCGUCUGAAACGACUCAGGUAGAGGCUGAGGAAGGCCGUGUUGUUUGUCUACCUGGGACUACACCUACUGAAAGAAGUUCUCAAGUUCUGAUUGAGUUCUAAAAUUUUUUGAAGAUUGGAAUUCUUCAUAUGUAAAAAGAGAAGAGAAAGACAUUCUUGAUUUUGGUGACUAGAGUUGUAGAUGCUGGAAGCUUUGCCACUAACAUUGAUGAACCAGAUGCAUGUCACCAGCCCAUCACGGUGAUUCUUAAUGCCGGCACCAUGGGCCCGGCACUGCCACGUUUUCCAAGGAACCUGCCGGAGCUCCUGCGGAAGCUGCUCCUCAGGCGAUGGAGUCCCUUCGCUGGUAGGCCCUUCUUCAGUCACCACAGGAUGCCUGCCAUUCAUGAACAAGAAGGAGAGGACGGGCUUUGAAUAAAAAACAGGAUCCAGGAAAUAUUUGUGAGGCCAUUUGGACUUCAGUGUGAAAUGGUGUUAAAAGAUGAAGUCAUUUAUUCAAGAAGUAAACCUCUGCCACCUGGACUGUGCGCAGACAUUUCAUUGAUUUUGUUUAAUAAACAUUUUCUGGCUUUGGGAGGUGUCUCUCUUGGUAGAACACAGUGUCAAAGAUGGACAAGAUGGACACAUAGUCCAUUAUUUGGUAUUGUUUGUGUAUGGGAGCAGACCACAAAUUAAUGUUUGGAGAACAAUUUUGUCAUAACACACUGUUGAGGCUCAGUUGUACAGAACUGGAAAAGUCUUCAGCUUGGCACAUGUCCUGAUUCAGCCUUUGUUUAACAUAUAUUCCAAUCCGGAUUCUAUCUUCACUGGCUACAAAGACCACCUGAUACGUGCACCACGACACAGGAGCUGCUGGAGAGGGGGUAGUGUUAUCACCUCAAACCCACAGCCAUAUUUUUCAAAAGCCAGCUUAGAGAGAGGUGUACUGAUAGCUGCAUAGAGAACAUGCAGUCCAUCCAUUCUUCCCAGUGAUGUACAUUUCUCAAUCAGUAACCACGUGGUAUACCAGCCUUGAGUGUCACAUCUCCCAACCAUACCAAAUGGAUCACCUAACUGGAGGUGGGGGGGGCCCUCAGAAAUGAGAUUUCGUAUUUACUGUAAAAUUGCCUUAUUUUUUCUUUUGAGGUGGAGUCUCACUCUGUUGCCUGGGCUGGAGUGCAAUGGUGUGAUCACUGCUCACUGCAACCUCCGCCUCCUGGGUUCAAGCAGUUCUCCUGCCUCAGCCUCCCAAGUAGCUGCAAUUACAGGUGCAUGCCACCACUCCCAGCAAAUUUUUAUAUUUUUAGUGGAGACAGGGUUUCACCAUGUUGACCAGGCUGGUCUCAAACUCCUGACCUCAGGUGAUCUGCCCACCUUGGCCUCCCAAAGUUCUGGGAUUAAAGGUACGAGCCACCGCAACUGGCUGAGAAUCUUUUUAUUUGCUGAUUUGUCUCUUGUGUAUUUUCUUUGUUCAGAUGUCUCUUCAGAUCUUUUUCUCACUUUUAAAUUGUUUUUUAAUUGUUAAGAAUUUUCUGUCUAGUUUAGAUAUAAGCCCUUUAUCAGACAUGUGUUUUGCAAAUAUUUUCUCCUAGUCUGUGGCUUGUAUUCUGUCUCUUAACACUCAUUUUAUUUUUACUUUUGGAACUAAAGAAGAAGAAUGGUCAGCUUUCCAUUAUUCUUGUAACAGUAAUGGCAGAACCAAGUCUGCUAAUGCUACACUGAGCAAAGAAAGUCACCUGGUGAAGUCCAACAUUAAUGAAAUGGGGUAGUACAUGCAGGCAGCGUUGGGGGUGGGGAGGGAACAAAUGCUUCUUGAGAGUAAUAUAAUCUGCCAUACCAUCCAGGAACCUACAAUGGCUAUCUAUUACCUUAUUCUCUGGUUUGUUUAAUGUUCGAAUCUUUCCGAAAGAUCCUUCAACCUUUCUGGAAGAAUCUAAUCUGAUAACACCAUCAAAAACACAUUACUUCUUUUGGCAUAAUUUAAAUUGUAAGACAUCAUUCACAUUUAUCAAUGUUACAUAUAUAAGAACUCACCCACCAUAUUCUUCCUUGAGGAAUUACAGCAUGUAAUUCUAUAAUCAUUUUUAUAAUCGUCUAACAAUUUUAUAAUGGAUUGGUUGCUUACUAUCAAUUUUUUAAAAGUCAUGGCUUCUCCAGUCAUUUCUUGCUUAUCGAAAUUAUUUCAUGAGAUGGGUCUCUCCUUGUAUAUUUGAAAAUGAGGUUUGCUUCCUUCUACUUAAAAAACAACUUGAACAUACCUGUUUGGAUCACAUGGUCUUGUCCUGAUAACUUGGAAGAGGUUGCUUCAGCAUUGUUCUUAUUGUUGUGGUGGUUAUUAUUAAUAUUGUUUCAUAUUCUGUUUAAAAAAUUAAAAUUUUACACAAGACCAAUGUCUUCUUUUCAAUUCCAGUACAUUUUUCAGAAGUAACUAAUGCUAUUGGCUUUGUGCAUUGUAAUUUCAGACCAUUUUAUAUGUCUUUAGUUAUAUGUACAGUAUACACACAUAUGUGUCAUAUUAUUCCAUUUUUUCUAGCAUUAAACAUUGCUAUGGAAAACUCUCGGAAAAAUAUUUAUUUGAACAGAACUUUUUCUUUUCUCAGAUGUACCCUCCUUAGGAAUCUUUCUUUGAUCCUUGAAGUUUGGUAACAACUUUAAAUAUGUGUAUCCCAGCUGGGAGCAGCGGCUCACACCUGUAAUUUCAGCACUUUGGGAGGCCGAGGAGGGUGGAUCACCUGAGGUCAGGAGUUUGCCUGGCCAACAUGGUGAAACCCCGUCUUUACUGAAAAUACAAAAAGUUAGCCAGGUGUGGUGGCUGGCACCUGUAAUCCCAGCUACAUGGGAGGCUGAGGCAGGAGAAUCGCUUGAACCUAUAGAGACAAGGUUUCACCAUGUUGACCAGGCUGGUCUCGAACUCCUGACCUCAGGUGAUCCACCCACCUCAGCCUCCCAAAAUGCUGGGAUUACAGGCAUGAGCCAUUGCACCCAGCCAUACAGGAGCAAGUUUAAAAAUUAAAUAUUUAUUUGAAUAACAAGCUUACAUUGGAGCUGCAAUGUUGGCAAUCCAGAUUUUGAACACGGAUCACAAAAAGCAUGCAUAAAAUCCUACUGGCCCAGAGAACAAAACACUGCUCAGAAUUAAGCGAAAUAGCUGCUACUGUUAAGAAAACAGGCCUGAAAUCAAUAUACAAGAUUUUAAAAAAUGUAUUGGCCGGAUGCAGUGGCUCAUUCCUGUAAUUCCAGAACUUUGGGAGGCCAAGACAGGAGAAUCACCUGAGGUCAGGAGUUCAAGACCAGCCUGGCCAACAUGGUGAAACUCCAUCUCUACUAAAAAUAAAAAAUUAGCUGGGUGUGGUGACACAUGCCUGUAGUCCCAGCUACCUGGGAGGCUGAGGCAGAAUAAUUUCUCGAACCCAGGAGGAGGAGGUUUGCAAUGGCAUGAUCUCUGCUCACCGCAACCUCCGCCUCCCGGGUUCAAGCAAUUCUCCUACUUCAGCCUCCCGAGUAGCUGGGAUUACAGGCAUGUGCCACCAUGCCUGGCUACUUUUCUGUAUUUUUAGUAGAGACAGAGUUUCUCCAUGUUGGUCAGGCUGGUCUUGAACUCACAACCUCCGGUGAUCUGCCUGCCUCGGCCUCCCAUAGUGCUGGGAUUACAGGCAUGAGCCACCAUGCCUGCCCAUGAAAGCACUUUUAAAAAGAGAGCACCUCUGCUGCCUGGUCAUAUUCUGUACCUGUUCCCAAACCCUGAAACCAGUGAUGUCAAUGGCUGCGUGGGCAUUGAACGUGUACAUGAUUCCUGCAGCUUUCCUGUUGACCUGGACCAUGUUCAUCAAUGCUUUUUGGUACAUUAAUUCUACAUCUUCUUCGGUGACCACAGUUUAUGUUUAUUUCAUUUUUCAGGAAUAUCCAGCCACUGGUGCACAGCCAUUGCCACUUGUGCCCCCAGGGGAUCUUGUCAACUCCAGUAUGUCCCCCCAGCACUGUGUUAUCUGGCAUAAUAAAUGUAGUUGGGCUGUAGUUGUAGUGACUCCUCCCAAAACAACCCAGGAGUUUAAUACUGUUUGGCCACCGGUUACAGACAUUGCUGCCCCUUCCGCUGCGGCUUUAAAAGCCUAUCUAAUCGGCUGGGUGUGAUGGUGGCUCAGACCUAUAAUCCCAGCACUUUGGGAGUCCAAGGUGGGUGGAUCACCUGAGGUCAGGAGUUUGAGACCGGCCUGGCCAACAUGGUGAAACCCCAUCUCUACUAAAAAUACAGCAAAUUAGCUGGGCGUGGUGGCGCAUGACUGUAAUCCCAGCUACUCGGGAGGCUGAGGUAGGAGAAUUGCUUGGGUGGCAGAGUAAGACUCCGUCCCAAAAAAAAAAGUUAUCUAAUCAGGGACGUCACCUUUCCCUGCCAGUCAUUUUGUUACCAAUGAAAGAAAACAUAUUCAAAUCAAUUUUUAGUUCAGAAAAUGUUUCUUUCAUUGUAUCUUUGAAUUUUAUUGUUCUGCAUUUUUUACUUCAAAAACACCUACUAUAUGCAUUUUUUCUCUCGUUUCCUUUUUUUUCCAAGAAAUGUUUUUGUCCUUUUGAUUUUUUCACUGACCAUUACCAUUAUUUAUAUACCAUGUACCUGGAGAGUUUCCAAUGUUUCUCUUUGGUCUGAGAUACUUGCUAUGAUUUUCACUUUUUAAAUGCUCUUUUGAGAUUUGUUUUGUGGCCUAAAAUGUGGUCUAUCCUGGAGAAUGUUCUGUGAGCUGAUGAGAAGAAUGCACGUUCUGCAGUUGGUGGGUGAAAUGUUCUGUAAUUACCUGUGAGGUCCCUUUGACUUCUCUUGGAGUCAGUCUGGUCUGUUACUUUUCUGCCUAGAGGGUGUGUCUGUUGCUGAAAGUGGGUGUUGGAGUCCCCAGCUAUUAUUGUCUGUCUCUGUCUGUUGCUCGAAUAACUCUUACUUUAAUAACUGGGGCUCCUGUGUCAGGUGUGUUUACAUUGACAACUGUCCUACCUUCUUGCUGAAUUGAUCUCUUUAUCGUUUUAUAAUGACCUUUAUUUUCUAUUUUUGUGCUUUUUUGACUUAAAGCCUACUUUGUGUGACAAGCAUAGCUAUACAUACUCACUUUUGGUAACACUUUUCAUUUCUUAUCAUCUUCAUUGAAUCUCACUUCUUCACAUUUACCAAAAUGUCUACUUUUGAGCUGUGGCACCUCUUUGAAUCUUCAGAUCCACCACAUGCUGAUCAAGCCUUCCUUUUUGUCUGUACUCUGAGGAAUCCCAAACAGGCAUUUUUGCAAGAAAGUCUAGGAGGGAAACAUAAAUCUAUGUGUCAAAAAAAUGAACAUAGAAAAUAAUGUGUCCUGGUUAACAAAAGUUCUCAUUGUAAAGUGUUAGGCACAAGACUAUGGAAUUUCAUGUGCCAUAAAUAAAAUUGUCUUGAUUUGUCUAAAACUACAUUUUGUCUAAAACUACUUUUAAAAAUUACAUGUUACUCUAAUA